rnacentral:rRNA from 1 species
CGUACACUCCUGCGGGAGGCAGCAGUGGGGAAUAUUGGACAAUGGGCGCAAGCCUGAUCCAGCCAUGCCGCGUGAGUGAUGAAGGCCCUAGGGUUGUAAAGCUCUUUUGUGCGGGAAGAUAAUGACGGUACCGCAAGAAUAAGCCCCGGCUAACUUCGUGCCAGCAGCCGCGGUAAUACGAAGGGGGCUAGCGUUGCUCGGAAUCACUGGGCGUAAAGGGUGCGUAGGCGGGUCUUUAAGUCAGGGGUGAAAUCCUGGAGCUCAACUCCAGAACUGCCUUUGAUACUGAAGAUCUUGAGUUCGGGAGAGGUGAGUGAAACUGCGAGUGUAGAGGUGAAAUUCGUAGAUAUUCGCAAGAACACCAGUGGCGAAGGCGGCUCACUGGCCCGAUACUGACGCUGAGGCACGAAAGCGUGGGGAGCAAACAGGAUUAGAAACCCGGGUAGUCCCAUA